rnacentral:rRNA from 1 species
CAAUAGCGUAUAUUAAAGUUGUUGCAGUUAAAAAGCUCGUAGUUGGAUUUCUGGUGGGAGCGACCGGUCGGCGCUUAACGGCGUGUGCACUGGAGUUGUCUCUUGCCAUCCUUGAGGGGAACGUGUCUGGCAUUAAGUUGUCGGGCUUGGGAUCCUCAUCGUUUACUGUGAAAAAAUUAGAGUGUUUAAAGCAGGCAUUUGCUGUGAAUACAUUAGCAUGGAAUAAUAAGAUAGGACUUUGGUGCUAUUUUGUUGGUUUGCGUACCAAGGUAAUGAUUAAUAGGGAUAGUUGGGGGUAUUCGUAUUCAAUUGUCAGAGGUGAAAUUCUUGGAUUUAUGGAAGACGAACAACUGCGAAAGCAUUUACCAAGGAUGUUUUCAUUAA